AUUGAACGCUGGCGGCAUGCCUUACACAUGCAAGUCGAACGGCAGCACGGGAGCAAUCCUGGUGGCGAGUGGCGAACGGGUGAGUAAUAUAUCGGAACGUGCCCAGUCGUGGGGGAUAACGUAGCGAAAGCUACGCUAAUACCGCAUACGAUCUACGGAUGAAAGCGGGGGAUCGCAAGACCUCGCGCGAUUGGAGCGGCCGAUAUCAGAUUAGGUAGUUGGUGAGGUAAAGGCUCACCAAGCCGACGAUCUGUAGCUGGUCUGAGAGGACGACCAGCCACACUGGGACUGAGACACGGCCCAGACUCCUACGGGAGGCAGCAGUGGGGAAUUUUGGACAAUGGGCGCAAGCCUGAUCCAGCAAAUGCCGCGUGCAGGAUGAAGGCCUU
rnacentral:rRNA from 1 species